GUGCACGGUGCAGCCGGGCCAUGGGUAGCGCUGGUGCAGGUGGGCUAGGCAGUGCACGGUGCAGCCGGGCCAUGGGUAGCGCUGGUGCAGGUGGGCUAGGCAGUGCACGGUGCAGCCGGGCCAUGGGUAGCGCUGGUGCAGGUGGGCUAGGCAGUGCACGGUGCAGCCGGGCCAUGGGUAGCGCUGGUGCAGGUGGGCUAGGCAGUGCACAGUGCAGCUGGGCCAUGGGUGGCGCUUUUUCAGGUAGCCUGGGCAGUGCAUGGUGCAGGUAGCCUGGGCAGUGCAUGGUGCAGCUGGGCCAUGGGUUGCCACUGGUGCUGUUAGGCUAGGCAGUGCAUGGUGCAGGUGGGCUAGGCAGUGCAAGGUGCAGCCAGGGCAUGGGUGGCGCUGGUGCAGGUGGGCUAGGCAGUGCAUGGUGCAGUGGGCCAUGGGUAGCACCAGUACAUGGUGCAGUGAGGCCAGGUACUGCACUAGUGCUUGGUGCAGCCAGGUGACAGGUCAUCUGUUCAGCAAGGCUAGGGAUUGCAGCAUCGAUGUGUGGAACAGUGGGACUAUGGACAGCACUGGUGCUUGGUGCAGCAAGGACAAGGGGUUUUACCACACCUGUUGCGUUGAUGGCACUGAUGCCCCAGGAAGAGGCUAAUUGGAUUGAUGAGGUUUCUGGCUGCUCUGGCUCUGGAGUUGCUGAGGUCAGUUGUGCUGGGUGUCUGUGCAGAGCACCAUUCUGGCCCAGUUCAGGACUAUGUGGCCACCAUGGGAUUAUCCCAGGUGAUUUUUGGUUCCCCUGUCUGGCUCUGGUGACAGCUUUUGACAAUAAAGCUUUUAAUACUGUCUUGCAUGACCUUCUCAUAAACAAAUCAGGGAAAUGCAGCCUAGAUGGAGCUACUACAAGGUGGGUGCAUAACUGUUCGGAAAACCAUUCCCCGAGAGUAGUUAUCAGUGGUUCACAGUCAGGCUGGUCCCACAGGGAUCAGUUCUGGGUCUGGUUCUGAUCAAUAUCUUCAUUAAUGAUUUAGAUUAAUGGCACAGAGAGUUCACUUAUAAAGUCUGUGGACAAUACCAAGCUGGGAGGGCUUGCAGGUGUUUAGGAGGAUAGGAUUAAAAUUCAAAAUGAUCUGGACAAACUGGAGAAAUGGUCUGAAGUAAAUAGGAUGAAAUUCAAAGUACUCCACUUAGGCAGGAACAAUCAGCUGCACACAUACAAAAUGGGAAAUGACUGCCUAGGAAGGAGCACUGCGGAAAGGGUUCCGGGGGGUCAUAGUGGACCAUAAGCUAAAUAUGUGUCAACAGUGUAACACAGUUACCAAAAAAGCGAACAUCAUUCUGGGAUGUAUUAGCAGGAGUGUUGUAAGCAAGACACGGAAGUAAUUCUUCCGCUCUACUCUGCUCUGAUUAGGCCUCAGCUGCAGUAUUGUGUCCAUUUCUGGGCACCACGUUUCAGGAAGGGUGUGGACAAAUUGGAGAGAGUCCAGAGAAGAUCAAUAAAAAUUACUAAAAGUCUAGAAAACAGGACCUAUGAGGGAAGAUUGAAAAAAUUGGGUUUGUUUAGUCUGGAAAAGAGAAGACCUUACAGGGGACAUAACAGUUUUCAAGUAUGUAAAAGGUUGUUACAAGAAGGAAGAAUUUUUU